AGGACGCGGGGCCCCACCGGGUUACCAACUCCUAUCAAACUCCGAAUGCCGUGGACAUGGACUCCGGGAGACAGUGCACGAGCGAUAAUGUCCGUGCGCGAGAGGGAAAGAGCCCAGACCCUCGGCUAAGGCCCCGAAGUGCGGGCUAAGUGAGAAAGGAUGUGGGUGUGCAUUGACAACUGGGAGGUUGGCUUAGAAGCAGCCAUACCUUGAAAGAGUGCGUAAU
rnacentral:rRNA from 1 species